AGUGACGAUAGCCUAGGAGAUACACCUGUACCCAUGCCGAACACAGAAGUUAAGCCCUAGAACGCCGGAAGUAGUUGGGGGUUGCCCC
rnacentral:rRNA from 1 species